rnacentral:rRNA from 1 species
CACGGUCCAGACUCCUACGGGAGGCAGCAGUGGGGAAUAUUGCACAAUGGGCGCAAGCCUGAUGCAGCCAUGCCGCGUGUAUGAAGAAGGCCUUCGGGUUGUAAAGUACCUUCAGCGGGGAGGAAGGCGUUGCGGUUAAUAACCGCAGCGAUUGACGUUACCCGCAGAAGAAGCACCGGCUAACUCCGUGCCAGCAGCCGCGUAAUA